UACGGGGGGGGCAAGCGUUGUUCGGAAUUACUGGGCGUAAAGGGCUCGUAGGCGGCAAACUAAGUCAGACGUGAAAUCCCUCGGCUUAACCGGGGAACUGCAUCUGAUACUGGAUGGCUUGAGUUCGGGAGAGGGAUGCGGAAUUCCAGGUGUAGCGGUGAAAUGCGUAGAUAUCUGGAGGAACACCGGUGGCGAAGGCGGCAUCCUGGACCGACACUGACGCUGAGGAGCGAAAGCCAGGGGAGCAAACGGG
rnacentral:rRNA from 1 species